CGAACGCUGGCGGCGUGCCUAAUACAUGCAAGUCGAGCGAGCGGAACCAACAGAUUUACUUCGGUAAUGACGUUGGGAAAGCGAGCGGCGGAUGGGUGAGUAACACGUGGGAACCUGCCCCUAAGUCUGGGAUACCAUUUGGAAACAGGUGCUAAUACCGGAUAAUAAAGCAGAUCGCAUGAUCAGCUUUUGAAAGGCGGCGUAAGCUGUCGCUAAGGGAUGGCCCCGCGGUGCAUUAGCUAGUUGGUAAGGUAACGGCUUACCAAGGCGACGAUGCAUAGCCGAGUUGAGAGACUGAUCGGCCACAUUGGGACUGAGACACGGCCCAAACUCCUACGGGAGGCAGCAGUAGGGAAUCUUCCACAAUGGACGCAAGUCUGAUGGAGCAACGCCGCGUGAGUGAAGAAGGUUUUCGGAUCGUAAAGCUCUGUUGUUGGUGAAGAAGAAUAGAGGUAGUAACUGGCCUUUAUUUGACGGUAAUCAACCAGAAAGUCACGGCUAACUACGUG
rnacentral:rRNA from 1 species